rnacentral:rRNA from 1 species
UGGGGAAUCUUCCGCAAUGGACGAAAGUCUGACGGAGCAACGCCGCGUGAGUGAUAACGGCCUUCGGGUUGUAAAGCUCUGUUAAUCGGGACGAAUGGUUCUUGUGCGAAUAGUGCGAGGAUUUGACGGUACCGGAAUAGAAAGCCACGGCUAACUACGUGCCAGCAGCCGCGGUAAUACGUAGGUGGCAAGCGUUGUCCGGAAUUAUUGGGCGUAAAGCGCGCGCAGGCGGAUUGGUCAGUCUGUCUUAAAAGUUCGGGGCUUAACCCCGUGAUGGGAUGGAAACUGCCAAUCUAGAGUAUCGGAGAGGAAAGUGGAAUUCCUAGUGUAGCGGUGAAAUGCGUAGAUAUUAGGAAGAACACCAGUGGCGAAGGCGACUUUCUGGACGAAAACUGACGCUGAGGCGCGAAAGCCAGGGGAGCGAACGGG